GAGAGGUCCUCCGCAGCGGACCUUGAAACCCCCGCCGGAUGGCGUCGAGUUUCGGAGAAAGCGUAGCCUCACUGGCCUUCCUAUUUUCUCACCCAGGCCACACUUUACCUUGCCUCAAAUACCAUGGACCGAGUAUCCUUCUCCUGGUUCUCAGAUCAUGCUGAAUCAACAGUCAUCUUCCUUCCAAGAUGAUGCUUCCUAGCUCUUAAUCUGAGGUGUUUGAUGUGUUUGUAAAGGUAUGUGAUAAUGGUGUGUGAAUCAAUGAGUCGAGAAAAAUUUGAUAUCUCUGCUGUCGAUUCGGUUUUGGUAGUUGGAAAUCUAAAUGCUAGUUAGUAAAGUCAAAGAAGCUUGAGAUAACAUCAUAAAUCAAGAAAAUGUCACUGUUAUGAUGCAACUUUCUCUUUUAUUUUUCUUGUGUGCCGGAUGUGGUUUUAAUUGAUACAGCAUAUCGGUAUCUGCAGUGACAUCGCAUAACAAAUUUCAUUUGGUCACUUGAGAUUU